CUCAUAUAGCAAUGGUAUCGACUAAUGGUAAUGGAACUACUCUCUUGAGAGCUGUCAAGCCAUUCAAAACCGGAUGGAAGGUUGAAAUCAAAGCACUGCACUCAUGGACUCAACACUCAUCGUAUGGUGGUGGAGACACUCCUGAAUUCAUUCUCGCAGAUGCAACGGGCGAUAAGAUACACUGCACAUGUAAGCGAGUCUUCACUCCCCGUGCCAAGAAACACAUGCAGAUUGGUCAGUGGUGUUUCAUCGAGAAUUUCGCUUUAACCCCAGCAACCGGAAAGUAUAGAGCGACGAGUCACAAAUACAAGCUUUCCAUCAUAGGCAGCUCCGUAGUGACCAGUUCAUCCCUGAAAAAUGAUGAUAGUUUUCUAUCGUUAACCUCUUACGAAUCAAUCAUUAAUGGAAGUCUUGAUUCCAAUUUUCUGAUUGGUCAGUGUAUUUUUUAAACGUUUAAUACCGUGAUUUAACGUUGGUUAAAUUACGGGUACCGGAAGUCUCAAACAACAAGCUCACAUCAGUUGAUGAUAUUCAGAUACUUACAAAGUACUUAACAUCGUGUAAAGUUUCGAUUUUUCGAUCUGGGUUUCUUUAGUUUGAUUAAUAAUUUGAAGUUCUCAGUAUAGUAGUUUUAACUUUAUAUUAGGAUAUUGUUUGCCUUCCAUUUUUCAACGAAAGUUGACUUAGGAUUUUUAGUGAUCUAUUGCAGGAUUCAGCAGAGGCAGAGGCAACAGCUUAGAGCUUCUAUAAUGGCUGAGAAAGUGGAAGAGUCUUUGUGCCUCGAGAUGAAACUCAGAGAAAUAGCAUGAUAAUCUCCUUUUCAACAACCAUCAUGAGUUCGUUCAAAGCCUAGAAUUUCUCCAGUGUUCAAUAUCUAACAAGGAAGACAAUUAGAUUCUUUAAAAAUAUGAUUGGGUAGAUGGCUGUAGAGUGUACAUGUAAUGCCUACCUUAUUGAAUAUAUGUAACAGGUACUACUCAAUGUACGGACGUGUGGAGAAAUGCGAUUGAGUUUGGAUUUGAACUGGAGAUCCAUUCAUCCAUUGUUAACAAGUGUGGUGAACUGUAAC